GCCUUCGUGGUGUAAUGAUCAGCACACUGGACGCAUAUUCGAGAGGUCCGAGGUUCGAGUCCCGGCCAGGGCA
rnacentral:tRNA from 1 species